CGGACGUAGCUCAAUGGUAGAGUCUCAGUCUUCCAAACUGAUUACGCGGGUUCGAUUCCCGUCGUCCG
rnacentral:tRNA from 1 species